rnacentral:rRNA from 1 species
GACGUAGGAGGCGAGCGUUAUCCGGAUUCACUGGGCGUAAAGCGCAUGUAGGCGGAUGUCUAAGUCGUGUGUUAAAGCCCCUGGCUCAACUGGGGGAGGUCAUGCGAGACUGGAUGACUUGAGGGCAACAGAGGCACGUGGAACUCCCGGUGUAGCGGUGGAAUGCGUAGAGAUCGGGAAGAACACCCGUGGCGAAGGCGGCGUGCUGGGUUGCAACUGACGCUGAGACGCGAAAGCGUGGGGAGCAAACAGG